rnacentral:rRNA from 1 species
CACGUAGGGGGCAAGCGUUGUCCGGAUUUAUUGGGCGUAAAGAGCUCGUAGGCGGUGCGUCGCGUCGGCCGUGAAAACCUGCAGCUUAACUGUGGGCUUGCGGUCGAUACGGGCAUCACUGGAGUUCGGCAGGGGAGACUGGAAUUCCUGGUGUAGCGGUGAAAUGCGCAGAUAUCAGGAGGAACACCGGUGGCGAAGGCGGGUCUCUGGGCCGAUACUGACGCUGAGGAGCGAAAGCGUGGGGAGCGAACAGG